GUGGUCCGGCCCGCUGGGACCGAGGAGACUGGCGGGCCAUGGCAGGCUCCAGGCUCUGGCUCUCGCUGCUGCUGGCGGCAGCGUUCGCUGGGCCCGCCACGGCCCUGUGGCCUUGGCCCCAAUACAUCCAGACCUCCGACUGGCACUACACCAUCUCCCCGCACAGCUUCCAAUUCAAGUACCACGUCAGAUCGGCCGCGCAGUCGGGCUGCUCCGUCCUCGACGAGGCUUUCCAGCGCUACCGUAACCUGCUCUUCGGUUCCGAGUCUUGGCAACGUGUUGCCCUCACAGGAGAACAGCAAACAUUGGAGAAGCAGUCACUGGUUAUCCUUGUAGUCACUCCUGGAUGUGAGCAGCUUCCUUCUUUGGAGUCAGUGGAGAAUUACACCCUGACCAUAAACAAUGAGCAGUGUUUCCUUCUGUCUGAGACCGUUUGGGGAGCUCUUCGAGGUCUGGAGACUUUUAGCCAGCUUGUUUGGAGAUCUCCUGAGGGCACAUUCUUUAUCAACAAGACGGAGAUUGAGGACUUUCCUCGCUUCCCUCACCGGGGCUUGCUGUUGGACACAUCUCGGCACUAUCUCCCACUGCCUAGCAUCCUGGACACUCUGGAUGCCAUGGCAUACAAUAAGUUCAAUGUGUUCCACUGGCAUCUGGUCGACGACUCUUCCUUCCCGUACGAGAGCUUCGCUUUUCCAGAGCUCACCAGAAAGGGGUCCUACAACCCUGCCACCCACAUCUACACAGCACAGGAUGUGAAGGAGGUGAUUGAAUAUGCACGGCUUCGGGGGAUCCGUGUAUUGGCAGAAUUUGACACUCCUGGCCACACUCUGUCCUGGGGACAAGGUGUCUCUGGAUUAUUGACUCCUUGCUACUCUGGGUCUCAGCCCUCUGGUACCUUUGGACCAGUGAAUCCCAUUCUCAACAGUACCUAUGAGUUCAUGAACACAUUUUUCUUGGAGGUCAGCUCUGUAUUCCCGGAUUUUUAUCUUCACCUUGGAGGAGAUGAGGUUGAUUUCGCCUGCUGGAAGUCCAACCCAGAUGUCCAGGCCUUUAUGAAGAAGAAAGGCUUUGGUAAUGACUUCAAACAGCUGGAGUCCUUCUACAUCCAGACGCUGCUUGACAUCGUCUCUGCCUAUGGCAAGGGCUACGUGGUGUGGCAGGAGGUGUUUGAUAAUAAAGUAAAGGUUCGGCCAGACACAAUCAUCCAGGUAUGGCGAGAAGAAGUACCAGUAAGCUAUUUGAAGGAGCUGGCACUGAUCACCGAAGCCGGCUUCCGCGCUCUGCUUUCUGCCCCCUGGUACCUGAACCGCAUAAGUUAUGGCCCUGACUGGGAGGACUUCUACAGGGUGGAUCCCCUGUCCUUUGAAGGUAGUCCCGAGCAGAAGGCUCUGGUGAUUGGUGGAGAGGCCUGUAUGUGGGGAGAGUAUGUGGACAGCACAAACCUGGUCCCCAGGCUCUGGGAAUCCAGGGAAACCUGGUGCAUAUCCCCUUUCCUCCAGGCCCAGAGCAGGGGCUGUUGCUGAGAGGCUGUGGAGCAACAAGGUGGUGACUGACCCGGACUUUGCCUUUAAACGUUUGGCACACUUCCGCUGUGAGCUGCUGAGACGAGGUGUCCAGGCCCAGCCCCUCAGUGUAGGCUACUGUGAACAGGAGUUUGAACAAAUCUGAGCGAGCAACCCAGGCACCGAGGAGGGUGCUGGCCCUAGAAGAGUGAUGGUGGGGCCAGGCUCCCACUGUUUCCCGGCUGGGGGUCAGAGCCCCUUGCCCACGUGCCACUGCCUGGAGAGAACAGGGCUGGUGCUGUGCUGGCGUUCAAUAAAGAGUGAUGGUGACAUUUUUCAACCAUGAA